rnacentral:snRNA from 1 species
GGCUGUUCACAUUGGCAGCACUGUACUAAAAUUGGUACACUACAGAGAAGAUGAGCAUGGCCCCUGUGUGAGUGUGACACGCAAAUUGGUGAAGUGUUCCCUGUGUGU